GACGAACGCUGGCGGCGUGCUUAACACAUGCAAGUCGAACGGUAAGGCCCUUUCGGGGGUACACGAGUGGCGAACGGGUGAGUAACACGUGGGUAAUCUGCCCUGCACUUCGGGAUAAGCCUGGGAAACUGGGUCUAAUACCGGAUAUGAGCUCUCACCGCAUGGUGGGGGUUGGAAAGUUUUUCGGUGCAGGAUGAGCUCGCGGCCUAUCAGCUUGUUGGUGGGGUAAUGGCCUACCAAGGCGUCGACGGGUAGCCGGCCUGAGAGGGUGGACGGCCACAUUGGGACUGAGACACGGCCCAGACUCCUACGGGAGGCAGCAGUGGGGAAUAUUGCACAAUGGGCGCAAGCCUGAUGCAGCGACGCCGCGUGGGGGAUGAAGGCCUUCGGGUUGUAAACUCCUUUCAACCAUGACGAAGCGUAAGUGACGGUAGUGGUAGAAGAAGCACCGGCUAACUACGUGCCAGCCGCCGCGGUAA
rnacentral:rRNA from 1 species